GGAGAGAUACCCAAGAGGCCGAAGGGGACGGUUUGCUAAACCGUUAGGGGGCGUCUUGCCCCGCGCGGGUUCGAAUCCCGCUCUCUCCGCCA
rnacentral:tRNA from 1 species